rnacentral:rRNA from 1 species
GACGAACGCUGGCGGCGUGCUUAACACAUGCAAGUCGAACGGAAAGGCCCUGCUUUUGUGGGGUUCUCGAGUGGCGAACGGGUGAGUAACACGUGAGUAACCUGCCCUUGACUUUGGGAUAACUUCAGGAAACUGGGGCUAAUACCGGAUAGGAGCUCCUGCUGCAUGGUGGGGGUUGGAAAGUUUCGGCGGUUGGGGAUGGACUCGCGGCUUAUCAGCUUGUUGGUGGGGUAGUGGCUUACCAAGGCUUUGACGGGUAGCCGGCCUGAGAGGGUGACCGGCCACAUUGGGACUGCGAUACGGCCCAGACUCCUACGGGAGGCAGCAGUGGGGAAUAUUGCACAAUGGGCGGAAGCCUGAUGCAGCAACGCCGCGUGCGGGAUGACGGCCUUCGGGUUGUAAACCGAUUUCGCCUGUGACGAAGCGUGAGUGACGGUAAUGGGUAAAGAAGCAACGGCUAACUACGUG